AGUCAACCCGAAACACUCCACAGAUCUGUUCGAGGGCAAACACCUUUUGCUGCUCAUCCCAUUUGGAGUUCUGCAAUUGGCCACUGUUCUCUGGAAACUGAAGGAAGAGAAUCACAUGGUCAGAUUUGUGCUGUAGAAUCUUACUUUGGUAGCUGUGGAUUGGUUGGCGAAAACUAAGAUUUGAGAGGCAAGACUAGAAUCUGGACUUUGCUGCUAAUUCAGAGAAGAUGGAAGAACAAAGUGGUUUGUCCAAGAGGCAAAUAGAGGGAAGAGGUGGUUGACUCAGCAAUCGAGCAGUCCUCAGCCUGUUCUGGGAGUAGCCUGCCAUCUGCUGGGCACCCAAAGAAUUGCAGUGAAUGAAUGAAGCUUUCCAUUGGCACUGAAUUUUUUUUUCUCUUAAGAUAGCUUUCCCCACCUGCCAUCUUCUCCGAGAUACAGAAUAAAAUGGAUAACAGCAUACAUAAAGCAAAGUGGAAAGAG